rnacentral:lncRNA from 1 species
GGGGGCCGAGGCGGGGAAACCGCGGGGGGGAGGAGACCCGAGGCGCAGCGAGUGGCGCCGGAGGGGAGGGGCUGGCGGCCUCCCGCUGCCCACCUGGGCUCGCGCCCCUCUGCGGCGCCCGCUCUUCAGCUGCCUGGGACCCAGAUUACCCGUGUUAGCUCCCACCCCCUCCAUUUCGAAACAGCCUCGCGCGGGGGGGUGGGGGGCCGUGUGUGUGCCAUUAUUGCUCCCUGAAAUUUGCAGACCCGAGAGGAAAGCGAUUCGCAGCGUCGCUCGUAUUUGAAUCGAAACCCAGAGCAAUUUGGGAAGAAACUCGGGGCACAUUUGCAAAAGGACAGCUAGCUUGAAAAGCCGAGGCCAGAGCAGGCUGCUCACCAAGGCCGCUCCGCGCCCACCCCACCCCUGCUCGCCGCCUCUCGUAAAUCACUAGGGGCACAGUCCUUGCAUUGGUGACUUUUGAACAAGCCCCUCCUCGGCAACCAAAGUUCGUUCCGAGUAUGAGGGGGGAAAGAGGGGUGGGGGAGGGACAUUUGGAACGCAGGAGAAAUGCAGUCCGAUCGGAAUCGCCAGACAAGCACCAAAAAAAGCGUGUGGAUUCCCCUUCUGCAAGGUCUCGCUGCGCCCACAUCUCGGAAGAAACGAAGAGGAAAACAGAAGAGCCCUCGCAGUUAAAACCCAGCCAUUUCCAGAUGUGUAAAUAAUAGGUGGCAUACUCUGGAAGAUAGAAACCACACAGUGGCCACACCUACAGAAACUAUACUUGGAAUGGAAGCCACAGUGAAAGAAUCUGGUGGAAAGCCUCUGUUUCUGAUGACAACAUGGCGCUGCCUUGACAGCUCUAAACUGUCUACCUCUGGAUUUCUUUUAUGUAAAAUAUAAUAAAUGGUGUCUAUGCUAUUUACAACUCUGUUCUUUUGGAUUUUCUCUUAUUACCAAUUUCAGAACUUCUUCCAAUCAGUUUGGGCUGUUUAAGUCUAAUUAUUGAAACACUUUAAUGCAUCUUUAACAAUGGACAAUGUAACUCUCCCACAAAUUUCUUUAUACUAUUUUAGCCCAGUUUUUCAAUUGUAUGAACUUCAAUAAUAUUUUGUAAUCACAAAACAUUUAAAAUUUUUAAUUGUGAUUUUAUAGUUAUUUUUGUAAUUAUAUUUUAUUUUAUUGUAAUUAUAAUUGUUUUUAUUAUAAUCAGAUUACUUUUUGAGCCAUAUUAGGGAGAACUAUUAUACUUACACUAUUAAUUUUUCUCCAUCAGAGACAAAAUACCUUCAUUUGCUAGUCUUUUUUGUACUCCAACGACUUUUUGUAGUUUACUCUAUUUAGAUUCUGCACAUUAUAGGGCAUUUAUAUUUUUUGUUGUUACUAAGAAUAAAAUAUUUUCGCUUAGAUUUUUCAAAUGGACUGUUGCUGGUACAUAAGGUACUAUCAAAGUUUGCCUUAAUGUGAUAUUUAGACAUUUUUCUGGGUUUAUUUAUGAGUUUUGAUUAUGUUUUAAUUGAUUCUCUUGCAUUUUCUUAGUAAACAAUAACAUUAUCUGAAAAUUAUAAUAAUUUUACCACUUAUUUCCAAUAGUUAUUUGUCUGGGUUGUUUUUGUCAUACUUUUGCAUCGAUUAGCAUAUCUAGAUAAUAUUUGAUAAUGGUAAUAGUGUACUCCUUGUGUUCUCGGCUUUAAAGGUAAAUUCCAUUUUUCUGAUAUUCAAUAGGAUGAUGGUUUAAGAUACUACUAUUCUUUACUGUAUUAGAGAUGAAUUGUUCUGUCCUAGUUUAUCAUGUUUUCCCUUGUACUGAAUAGAUGAAAGAAAACAUUCUACAACAUAAUCAUUUUGGAACUUCUACUGGAUGAAUAUUAAUUAUUCUGACUCUCUUUCAUUUUAUCUUACACCUUGUCUCAUCCAAUAAAGAUUUUUUUUGAGUUGCAGUUCCUUUUUGCUUUUCAUUGCUUUAGAUAUUUUAUUCGCCAUCUACUUGAGCAUGACCAAUCAACAUAAACUUUUACUGAGUUAAUUUUUUCCCCAAAUUUUCUUCAGUAUCCCAAUCUGAUGCCUCUGUUCAGUGUUGGUUAGCAUUUU